AAUGAGCUACGGUGACACCACUGAACUCUAGCCCGGGCAACAAAGUGAGACUCUGUCUCAAAAACAACAAAAAAUCUGUAUGGGAGACCUUCCAGAGGUUGGUCAAAGGCCAAGGCCAGCUCUCAAAGUUUAUCCUGUGCGACCAAGGAACUCUAAAGGGGACAAGUGUCAGAGGCUUUGCAAAAACAUCAAGAUUCAUGAGGCAAAUCUGGCAGGAACCUGCUUAUAGCUAAGUUUUGGAAUCUAUCCAUAUCUCCUUUCUAACCAGAUGUAAGAACUAGGGACUGACUAUGUAAGUGACACCACCUACAUUCCCUUUUCUGGAGCAGCCUGAGGCUUCUGGAUCCCAGCCACGUCCCACUGACCUGCACACUGGCCCAAAGCAUGCAAUACAAGUUGCCUCUCCAGCUCCUCCUCCCUCUUACCAGCUGACUUUGAAUCACUUUCAAAUGCCUAAACUUUCUUCACUGUGUCAGACAUUCCUAAGAGUUUUAUUCAAUUAAAGGCUAGUUCUCAAGGUUGGGAAAUAUUUAAAAGCACUAAUAAAAAUGGAUAUCAAGACAUAGAACUAGACCCACCGAGGUCAAAAAAUGAAGCAAAGGAGUCGAGGAGGAAGAUGGAGAGGAUAUCAUACCAAAGCAGCCCUAAAUUCUGUAGAAGAAAGAAACUGGCCAUACAUAUCCAGUACUCCAAAGCAUUCGAAUCAAGAGACAUGCUUUAGGUCACUACAUAAUUGGCAGGCAGAAAAAUGAAGCUGGAAGCGAGGGUGCCAAUUUUAAGGACAAAACAGACCUUCAGUCACAGUUUUAUGCUAUCAUCAAAUAAAGUUCCCUAUGGAAACUGC